AUGGCUCAGGAUGAACGCUGGCGGCGUGCUUAACACAUGCAAGUCGAACGGGAUAUACUUUUAGCUUGCUAAGUUGUAUAUCUAGUGGCGGACGGGUGAGGUAACGCGUGGGUAACCUGCCGUAUGCCGGGGGACAACAGUUGGAAACGACUGCUAAUACCGCAUAAGCGCACAGUAUCGCAUGGUACAGUGUGAAAAAACUCCGGUGGCAUACGAUGGACCCGCGUCUGAUUAGCUAGUUGGUGAGGUAACGGCCCACCAAGGCGACGAUCAGUAGCCGGCCUGAGAGGGUGAACGGCCACAUUGGGACUGAGACACGGCCCAGACUCCUACGGGAGGCAGCAGUGGGGAAUAUUGCACAAUGGGGGAAACCCUGAUGCAGCGACGCCGCGUGAGUGAAGAAGUAUUUCGGUAUGUAAAGCUCUAUCAGCAGGAAAGAAAAUGACGGUACCUGACUAAGAAGCCCCGGCUAACUACGUGCCAGCCGCCGC
rnacentral:rRNA from 1 species